GCGACUCAAUCAACCUUGAGAAGAUCCCCAUCAACGCGGACUCCCCUAUGGAAACCAACAACGAGAAGAAGCGGCUCGCCGAGAUAUGCCAUGUCGACUUCUCCUUUUGUCAUCAAUGGAGGCACCACGAAGGCCAAGAAGAAGGCCCCAAUAGCCCUAGCCAUGGCAGGGCCUCAUGUAGAGCCUGAAGACCAAACCAAUGAUCAAUGUGUGCUGAGAAUGACAGCAGUAUGCACCACAUUUGCAGUCUUAACUACAUGGUUAGUAAAACUUUUUAUUCAGCUCAAAGAGGUCCUGCAGUACAUCCUAGGAAAUAAAGGCGAGUCAAUUCGGAUUUUUGAAUAAGAUGGGGCGACCAUGAUGUGGCUCGGAGAAAGGGUGCAUAUGGGAUUACUUAUUACCCAUUGGGUCUGCAAAUAUGAGAGGUAAAAAAUUUCACUGUAGUGCAAGGCACGUUCUAAGUUUCAUCUUCGCACAUGAUUAUGGACUUAUGGCAUCUGAUCAGCUUUCUCUUGACAUGCGUAAUUCCAACACCGUCCCGAUCUUUCCAAAAAUAGAUUGUCUAUGAUUAUGAGAGUAACCACAAGAACAGACGAAAGUGGCGAGACUCGUUACGAAACAAUGCAGAUUCUUUACCCCUAGGACAGUGACAGUGCUAACAUUCAUGUAUGUAUGUUAGGAGUUACGAUAUGACCUUUUGUUUAUGUAUGUUAACAUUCAAAAAUGUUUGAUGAGAUCAAUAAUGUAUAUAUGAGAUGUGAUAAAACUGAACAUAUGUUGUACUUGGCGUAUUUGAUUAAAUAUAUUAACUAACGAACCCAUACUUUAUUUAUC